rnacentral:sRNA from 1 species
GCUUGAAGACCUGGGUUUGGAGCCUGCGCUCAAGGAAGUCCUCGACCUUAAGACCGAGAACGUAAUCGAGCUUCAUCUUGGUCUC